ACCACCUGCGGUUCAGACCUGGUUAUCCACCUGAAGCUAAGCAGGUUUGGGUCUGGCUGGUCUUUGGAUGGGAAAUCAACUAGGAAAGUGUGUUGCUGCUGGAG
rnacentral:rRNA from 1 species